AGUUGGCAAUCUUUAUUUUUUCUUCUUUGGGUAGAAGAAGUUGCUUUUUGUUUCCCCUUAAAUUUGGCAUUCGCCAAAGCAUCAAACCUUUUUUUCUCCUUCUGUGUAAGAAAACGCUAAUUAAAAGCCAAAAAAAAAAAGAAAGAAAAUAGGUGCGAGUAUACACUACCUCACAUAAACGGAGACAAUUUAGCUCAUACUCAUUGCGAAUUAUUACUCCAACAUUAUUAUGACGUAGUAUUCGAACCUGUAGACAAAAGAACGUUGAAUAAUAAAUAAGCUGGUAAAAAGAUAAGACAAAAAGUAAGAAAAUGAUGAGUAAGAAAUUAAAAUAAAUAAGUUAUUAUCAUACAGUGUUUUCUAGGUGGUCAUCCAUCUGUCAUGACAUUAAUGAAAAUAAAUUAAAAUAAAUAAGUUAUUAAAAAAUCAAUAAGAUAUAUUUAGAGAGAGUUAAUCAGAUGAUAAACUUACACUACCAAAUAUAACAACAUCAUCCAUUGGUCGAUGAUUGUGCUGUUGAAACAGAGAGUUAAUCAGAUGAUAAACUCACAUAAUGAACAUCAAUUACAUAAUACAUAUUGUGUUAUGUAUUUUAAAAAGUACAUGCAUUUGUUAAGUUUUUUGUUUACAGAAAUUAUAUGUUAUUUCAUUAUUUAAAAAGUACAGGCUCCUUCACUUUAGCACCCAGAGAAUGAAGGUUGGCUGUUUGGUUGAGAUACAUGCUCUUCUAAAUUUGAUAUUGAAGUGGGUGCAAGGACACCAUGUUGUGGUUCAGGAAGUUAACAUGAUGCUAACUAAUCAAAAAAGAUCUUCCAUGAUAUGAGGGAUCCAACGAUAUAUAUUAAGGAUUUCUCAUCAACCAAACAGAAGAUAUAUAUAUAUUAAGGAUUUCCAUAAGAAGCAAUGUGUAUGAUGUGGAAAUUUUCCAUGAUAUGAUGUGGAAAAGAAUGUUUUAGAACCAAUCCAAACAAAUCCUGUCAUUCUCCAUUCCUUCAGCAAAAAUAGAUUCACUAAGAACAAAACCAUACUUUUCCACAAAAUUCAACCAAAAACAGUAAAUAGCGGUUACCCUCUCAACAAAGACGAUAGUGUGGUAAUGGUGUCACUCACCCUCUCAACAAAGACCGCAGAAAGGAAGAGAGAUUAUGGGAGUGAGGUAAAAAAAUUGGACGUUUCACACCUACUUAUAAACAAUUACAAACAUUGGGAUCAAGCCGGCUCACCUAUUCCUUUCAAAUCAGUAAUUUUUAUCUGAAUUUUUUAAAAAUUAUUUUGUUUAAUAUAACUUUUCCGUUCUAAAAAAAGUCUUACAAAGAUUUGAUGGGUACGAAGAAACACUAAAAUGCAGCUUAGAAUUGAGUAAUAAAUCUCACCUUUUCCCUUGAAUCCAUCGCCAUUGCAAGAAAAAAAUAACUUUGAAAGUGAGAGAGCUUAUUUCACCGCUUCAAAGACCGAAGAUUAGAGCCAUUGAUUUUUCUGUUUGAGUCCUAUAAUUUUUACAUUAUCUAGGAGAAGAUGAAGAAACCAUGAGUAUCAAAUAAGAGAUUAAUAGUGUACAGUUAACAAAUAGUGUACAGUUACUGAAGUUUCUGUAUUCAAAAUUAAUUAACAGGGCAAUGAAUUUACAGAACAAUAGAGGAUAUAAAAUUACCGCAGUGAGGAACAACAGAGGAUAUCGAAACCUCCAUGAAUUGAUUCCACUCCACUUUUCAGUUCUUUGAGCUCUCUAUGUAGCACAGUUUCCCCCUCUAUAAACAUUAAACUCAGUUCUUAGGUUAUUUAAACCAUCUCAAGUUUGUGAAACUUCUUUCGAUGUCAAUUUUCAAUCAGUUUUCAAACAACAACCAUUGUGCAAAAUAGAAUGCCCAAAAAAGAAAAGAAAUAGAAUGCCCAAGAUGUAUAGACUAAUCCAAGAUGUAUAAAAAUAGAAAUAGAAUGCCCAAGAUGUAUAGACUAAUUCAAAUCAUUACAACUCUGUCAAUGCAAGACAUUUUAUGAUGACAAUCACUUCAUUUAUUACCUUCAUUCUGACAUUUUUACUUGCAGUAAUGACUUUGAAGUAAGCUGAAGACCAAGAUAGUGCGUAUACGCUCCUUUAGUUCUUUACCAAGGAAAGAGGGAAGACCAAUCUGCUUUCUUAUUGAGUCAAUAAUUUGCUCUGCAGAAAUAAUCAAAAUUGUUGAAAAAUAUAUAUAGAGAUAAAGAACUACUAACAAAGAAAGCAACCCCUGCUAAAACGCUAACCCUAGAAAUACAGAAUAUCAUAAAUCCGCAAUAGAUUAAAUAUAAUUUACACAAUAAUAAAUUACUAUGCCUAUGCUAUUAUCCCCUUCAAAAAUAAUAAAGAGAGCAUGUAUAUCACUAUGCCUAUGCUAUUAUCAUUUAAGCAAAUAAACUCAAAUGGUUACAGACCAUAUAUAUAAUCAGGAUUAAGAAGAUUAAAAUGGGUAAAUACGUUGCAGCAAUCAUUUCAUGGUAUAAUGUCAAUAGAGAUGAAAUAUAGAGGAGAAUUAGUCUCAUUUAUUCCUUCUAUAAACAUUCAACAGAGUGACGUUUGAGGUGAGCUACUGCAAAAUAGAAUGCCCAAAAAAAGAAAAGAAAUAGAAUGCCCAAAAAGCACACCGGGGAAAAAAAAUCACACCGGCUCUGAGAGAAAACGAAAUGGUGAAACUCUGUGGGAGAAACGAAAGUUAUGCCAACUCGGGGACCUUGCCGUUGCCAUUAUUGCACCGGCGAACAGUUACUAGAAGAGAGAGAGACGUGCGAUAGAGGAAGUGUGCGAC
rnacentral:lncRNA from 1 species